UACCUGAUUGAUUCUGUCAGCGCGAUAUGCUCAAGUAAAAGAUUAAGCCAUGCAUGCUUUGAUUCAUAAAUGAAAUUGCGUACGGCUCAUUAGAGCAGAUAUCACCUUUCUCGGAAUCCUGAAAAGGAUAACUGCGGAAAUUCUGGAGCUAAUACAUGCGACUAUACUCCAACGCAAGGCGGGGUGCAAUUAUUAGAACAGACCAAACGUUUUCGGACGUUGUUUGUUGACUCUGAAUACCGUCGUUUACUGUCAGUUUCGACUGACUCUAUCCGAGAAGGGUGUCUGCCCUUUCAACUAGAUGGUAAUCUAUUGGACUACCAUGGUUGUUACGGGUAACGGAGAAUUAGGGUUCGACUCCGGAGAGGGAGCCUUAGAAACGGCUACCACGUCCAAGGAAGGCAGCAGGCGCGAAACUUAUCCACUGUUGAGUAUGAGAUAGUGACUAAAAAUAUAAAGACUCAUCCUUUUGGAUGAGUUAUUUCAAUGAGUUGAAUAUAAAUUAUUCUUCGAGUAGCAAGGAGAGGGCAAGUCUGGUGCCAGCAGCCGCGGUAAUUCCAGCUCUCCUAGUGUAUCUCGUUAUUGCUGCGGUUAAAAAGCUCGUAGUUGGAUCUAGGUUACGUGCCGCAGUUCGCAAUUUGCGUUAACUGUGGUCGUGACUUCUAAUUUGCUGGUUUGAGGUUGGGUUCGCCCUUCAACUGCCAGCAGGUUUACCUUGAAUAAAUCAGAGUGCUCAAUACAGGCGCUUGCUUGAAUAGCUCAUCAUGGAAUAAUGAAACAGGACUUCGGUUCUUUUUGUUGGUUCUAGAAUUGAUCUAAUGGUUAAGAGGGACAAACCGGGGGCAUUCGUAUCAUUACGCGAGAGGUGAAAUUCGUGGACCGUAGUGAGACGCCCAAUAGCGAAAGCAUUUGCCAAGAAUGUCUUCAUUAAUCAAGAACGAAAGUCAGAGGUUCGAAGGCGAUUAGAUACCGCCCUAGUUCUGACCGUAAACGAUGCCAUCUCGCGAUUCGGAGGGUUCAUGCCCUACCGAGGAGCUACCCGGAAACGAAAGUCUUUCGGUUCCGGGGGUAGUAUGGUUGCAAAGCUGAAACUUAAAGAAAUUGACGGAAGGGCACCACAAGGCGUGGAGCUUGCGGCUUAAUUUGACUCAACACGGGAAAACUCACCCGGUCCGGACACUAUUAGGACUGACAGAUUGAAAGCUCUUUCUCGAUUUGGUGGUUGGUGGUGCAUGGCCGUUCUUAGUUGGUGGAGUGAUUUGUCUGGUUUAUUCCGAUAACGAGCGAGACUCUAGCCUGCUAAAUAGUCGAC
rnacentral:ncRNA from 1 species